CUCUCACUUCACUUUGUUCCCUCCCAUUUAAGUGAACCCGAAUUAGGUUCACUUAAAUGGGAGGGUACUAUGCAUAUCCACAUAGCACACAUGCAUUAGUUUAUUAAAUGCCUUUGACUGAUCUCCCUCUACCCAAUGAAAUCGCUCUUUGAAAUUCGUUUUUUGGGCAACGGGAUGGCUUUUCGCCAGCUCAGAGAAAGUGCCACGACUCCACACUCAGCGGCUAUUCAGAAACAGUGAAUAUUGGUGGUCGGGUGGUUGCUGACGUUGACUCUGCGACUGCUCCCCUCCUGCCAUACAAGACUCUGUCUGCUGUGAGCAGCAUGACAUUCAGCGAGGGAGAGAYCCAAAGGCUCAUCGAAGUGCUCAGUGACAAGGCUGGCCUCGACUCCUGGCAACUGGAGCUGAGCGCAGAGAAAUCGAAGAUGGCGACGGUCAAGAGAAAUCGAAGAUUUCGACCCAUCUGAGCUCGGAGUUGAGUGCUCACACUCAGGAGAUAACUGCCCUCCAGGCUCGCAUGCAGGCCUCUUACCAGGACCACGUGGCUGAGAGCCAGCAGCUCAAUCUCAAGAUAGCGAGACUGCAGGAACAGCUGGACAAUGGCCCCGUUGUUCAGAUGGCCUGCUGGCAGUAGGAGAACUCCAUCCUGAGAGACGCCCUCAACCAGGCCACCAGCCUGUCCGAGAGCAAGUAGAUGGGGAAAUAAACAAUACUACUCCUAUUCUCUAUUCUAUGGGGAAAUCUUGAGUUUUGUUCAUUGGGCACCCAAUGUAAUUUUUUAAAUKUAUUUAUAAUAAUUUUAAAAUGGAGUGGAACUACCUGGGCUUUCCCCAAUAAGAAAUAUGAAUUUUCUUUUGUUGAAACAUUCUGCUAUGGUGUGCCCUAAUGAACACAACCCAGGUGUGGUCUACUCUUUAAAAUGCCCUUUUCCCAAUUCGACUUAACUUGAUUCCUUAUCUCCUCUCUCCCUGCCACCAUCUUCUUAGUCUUGAGGAGGCGGAAAGGAGACAGGACUUGAGGAAUCAAGGAAAUCUGAAUUGAGAGAGGCGAAAAAAUGUCAGUGUCUUUGGAUGCUGUAGCCUCAGUAGUAAUCCAACUUGAAUAACACAUUCAAGAUGUCCAGCACUCACAAGUAGACUGUUAGACUGCUUUCAUUACAAAGAACUCUAAGAGAUAUUGUACCUGCAAGCUCUGGCCAUAAUUUUCAUUCAAGUACAGGGUUUCCCAGAGUGUGCACAUGUUUGAUUUAGCCCAAGAUUAAAACACCUGAUUCAACUCAUCAAGGGGUGAGAAUUAGUUCAUUUCUAGCAUUUAAUUCCCUAAUACAACUGAAACAUGAAGUAAUAGGUUUGUUGUUUUUUUGUUCAUAAGACAGUUAUAAACUCAUUAAGAUAUAUAAUUGUCUUUGGGUUGUAAAAUCAUAGAUUGUGUCUGAAAAUCUACACUUGAAGCUGUGUUGAGACAGGACUGAAGCCCUGCAGACUGACAAUGAGCACAGGAAGGCCCUGGAGGCCAAAGUGGCAGCUGCAGAGGAGCAACUUGCCCAGUUCCAGGAGGAGCCCGAGCAACCAAAKGAAGGGACAUUCGUCGAAGACCGAAUGAAUAUCCCACAACUUGCCAAAAUGCUUUAAUUAUUUUACUUAUUCCUUUUUUCCACUCUUUUCUCAUGUACAGUAGUUUGUAGUCAAAUUAUAGUUUUGUAAAUGGAUGUGGAUUUCAGAAACGUUUAAUAUUGUAUGCCUUUUUGUUAUGUUGGAACCAACAAUUAAUUGAGUCUCUGGCUGUGUCAAACUUCAGUUUAUUUGUCCUGACAUUCCUAGAACACCCAGUGGUUCAGUGUUAUUGAUAAGGGGAAUUGUCUGUGCGUUAAAUGUGCAGCAACUAGUGCAAUAACUUUCUUGUUGUCCUUUUGCCUGUCCUUUGUAUGACAUUGAAAAGGGAGGUGAUUUCAUGGUACGCAGAUGCAAAACAAUGUAGGGGGCUGCUGACAAAUGUGAGAAUUUGUAACAAAUGAACUGUAGAUCUAUUUGGGUUGGUGGGUGUAUUACUGUUUUUAGCACAAAUGCAUUAUUGAGAAGAGGAGUUAUUUGUGACAAACACAAUAUGCAGUUGUACUAUAUGUUCAAGGGGAAGUUGAGGAUUUUACAACUUGAUGUUAGAUCAGAGGUGUUGGAUCUGGCCCAUGGGGAGGGGUCCAAUCUGGACUGCAGGUGAUCUGAGAAAUCAUUAAAACAUUUUACACCUAAAAUAAUGGAGACUGUAGUUCCCACAGAUGGGUAGUAAUGGAUUAAGUGUAACAUGAUUUUAAAUGUACUGUAAUGAUCAAACCAGAUUCCCCCAAAAAUGUAAUGUAAUUUGCUUAGUUACAUUCUUACAUGUUGGAUUACUUUGAAACAAAUUUGAUAACUAUCAUUGAGUGGACCCUCAAGACUUCUCACAUGUUCUCAACUCAGAUUCUAUUGUCUUGCUGAUCAUCCACCWAGGGUGGAUGAUGUCUUUUUGUAUUCAAACUGGUUGAGUGAAUAGAUAAGGCUUCCAAAACAAGUACACCUGGCACACUGGUCAAUCAGACAGUUGUCUAGACUCCACAUGGGAWUGUUAACUAUGCUUAGAACAAUGGUUUAAACCAGUGUUGAUUUUUAGCAUGUAAAUCUUGGUGGUCAAAAACAUAACUGUGGGAUGCAUGUCAGCAAAGCCACUAAACUAUACAUUAAUUGCACUAUACCACUGCUACACCUGGCUAUCAGCGAAGCCUUGUCUGGCAGCAAAACAGUUAAUUCAGCCUCUUUAACUACCUUGUAAGAAAAACAGCUGAUAUGGCUGACUUACCUAAACAAAUGUGGUUUCUACUGACAAUUGAUGUGCAAACUUGCUAUGUAUAAUAAGGGGACGACAAGUGGAUAAGAGGCAAUCCGUAAUUUCAAUUAAGACAUGGGGAAACAGUGUUUAAACACUUU